rnacentral:rRNA from 1 species
CACUUACAGAUGGACCCGCGGCGCAUUAGCUAGUUGGUGAGGUAACGGCUCACCAAGGCAACGAUGCGUAGCCGACCUGAGAGGGUGAUCGGCCACACUGGGACUGAGACACGGCCCAGACUCCUACGGGAGGCAGCAGUAGGGAAUCUUCCGCAAUGGACGAAAGUCUGACGGAGCAACGCCGCGUGAGUGAUGAAGGUUUUCGGAUCGUAAAACUCUGUUGUUAGGGAAGAACAAGUACCGUUCGAAUAGGGCGGUACCUUGACGGUACCUAACCAGAAAGCCACGGCUAACUACGUGCCAGCAGCCGCGGUAAUACGUAGGUGGCAAGCGUUGUCCGGAAUUAUUGGGCGUAAAGCGCGCGCAGGCGGUUUCUUAAGUCUGAUGUGAAAGCCCCCGGCUCAACCGGGGAGGGUCAUUGGAAACUGGGGAACUUGAGUGCAGAAGAGGAGAGUGGAAUUCCACGUGUAGCGGUGAAAUGCGUAGAGAUGUGGAGGAACACCAGUGGCGAAGGCGACUCUCUGGUCUGUAACUGACGCUGAGGCGCGAAAGCGUGGGGAGCGAACAGGAUUAGAUACCCUGGUAGUCCACGCCGUAAACGAUGAGUGCUAAGUGUUAGAGGGUUUCCGCCCUUUAGUGCUGCAGCAAACGCAUUAAGCACUCCGCCUGGGGAGUACGGUCGCAAGACUGAAACUCAAAGGAAUUGACGGGGGCCCGCACAAGCGGUGGAGCAUGUGGUUUAAUUCGA